rnacentral:rRNA from 1 species
UACGGAGGGUGCGAGCGUUGUCCGGAAUCACUGGGCGUAAAGGGCGCGUAGGCGGCCUGAUAAGUAGGGGGUGAAAUCCUGCGGCUUAACCGCAGGGCUGCCUUCUAAACUGUCAGGCUAGAGCACAGUAGAGGCAGGUGGAAUUCCCGGUGUAGAGGUGAAAUUCGUAGAUAUUAGCUAGAACACCAGUGGCGAAGGCGGCCAACUGGUCCGGUACUGACGCUGAGGUGCGAAAGCGUGGGGAGCAAACAGG